AGCAGCAGUGGACAAGCUGGACCCUUCCUCCUCCUGGAAGUGAGCCACUCUUCAGCAUCUAGAGAGCAGCUCCUCUCCUGCGAGCCCGUGCCAGCCAGCUGCUUGGGAAGGAAACCCAUCCUAGGACAGUCAGCUCUGGCAGCGGACCUGGGAGGCCGACUCCAAAGGCAGAUGUUGGAGCCGGCUCUCUGACCAGCCCGGGGGCAAUGGAGACCCGCCACUCCUGGGAGAUGGAGACUGGAGAGCUCUGGGUGCUGCCAAGGCAUAAAAGGGGACACAGCGUGCCUCGCCUCCGGAUGACUCAGCACCAGGCGCCAUCCUGGAAGUGGCGAGCAGCCCUCACCAGGCUCCCAACCUGCCAGCCCCUUGAUCCUGGACUUCCAGCCUCCAGAGCUGCCAGAGGAGACCUGUCUGUUCCUCAUCAGU